UUAGCUGAGAAGACCUAAAUGAAGCAGUCAGCCCAGUCUUGUUUGUGGAGAGUCUUCAUUUAGAAACAGAGAAGACAGAAAGCUGCGGAGGGAGACAUUUGCAGUGGAUUACUCACAGAUUGUGCUGUCCUUCUUUUUCAGGUCUCUACAAUAUGUAAACAACAGCUCCUUUACGCACCCUCACAAACCUUCCUAAAAACUAAAAGAGCUGUUACUGAGUCUCAGCGAGUCUUGCCAUGAUCAGCUCUUCCCAGAAGAGAAGGAAGACCAAGAAAGUCCUUCGUUCAGGGUGAGGAAUGAAUAUGGCCAUCUUGCACCCAAACAAAGAAGACAGAAGAGUGUGCAUGUCCACUGAUGAUCUUUGGACAGAUGAGGGGGUUUGACCAAGUGAUGCUCCUCUUAAAAGGAGAGAAAGAAGAGGAUGUUGUAAAUUGUCUUCAAAGAAAAAGCUUCUCAAAAGUCUUAAAACCUUAAAGGUAUGGGAAGUGUCUGAAAAUGGGAUGUCAGGAGUGAGAUUCUCUGGCUGAGAAAAAGCUACACCACAUACUGUUUACAGACACGACAGAAGAAAAUCAUGAUUGGGAAAUAUAUGGGAAGCUGUUAUAAAGGCAUUUUAAAUAUUGCUUACAGUAAAAUACCAACUUUCAGUUUGCCUCUCAAUAUGUCAUAGAGAUUUGCAAAAUGAGAUUUGCA